rnacentral:rRNA from 1 species
AAGCGUGUAGGCUGGUUUUCCAGGCAAAUCCGGAAAAUCAAGGCUGAGGCGUGAUGACGAGGCACUACGGUGCUGAAGCAACAAAUGCCCUGCUUCCAGGAAAAGCCUCUAAGCAUCAGGUAACAUUAAAUCGUACCCCAAACCGACACAGGUGGUCAGGUAGAGAAUACCAAGGCGCUUGAGAGAACUCGGGUGAAGGAACUAGGCAAAAUGGUGCCGUAACUUCGGGAGAAGGCACGCUGAUAUGUAGGUGA